AGACGUCGAACUGCGAGGUC
rnacentral:siRNA from 1 species